AACGCAACUUGCGCUCUUGGGUAUCCCUGGGAGCAUACCUCUCUGAGUAUCGUUUCAAACCAAACUCGCCUGCGUGGCGGUGAAUGGAAGUCAUAAGUAAGCCUUAUGUCUUCUUAAGUAGAUAAGCUUUCAUUAAUAGUCAACGUUCGCUGAGUUCCUCUUCACGGAGGGGUUCAACCGCGCUGAUGUAUGAUAAUACGAUUUCUUCUGGGCUUCGGCUUGGGACUUUUCCAAAAUCAACAUUGGCAAUGCGGAGAAUGCUGAUUAGAAAGCUACAAAGACAAUCUCGAGUCACUCUGUGAUUCUUGACUCUGAUCUCAGAUGAAGUAAGAUUACCCGCCGAAUUUAA
rnacentral:misc_RNA from 1 species